rnacentral:rRNA from 1 species
ACUCAAAGGAAUAGACGGGGGCUCACACAAGCGGUGGAGGAUGUUGCUCAAUUCGAAGCAACGCGAAGAACCUUACCAGGGUUUGACAUGCUGGGAUCAACCCCGUGAAAGCGGGGGGAUUGCCUUCGGGUGUAACCAGCACAGGUGUUGCAUGGCUGUCGUCAGCUCGUGCCUUGAGGUGUUGGGUUAAGUCCCCUAACGAGCGAAACCCCUGUCGUCAGUUGCCAUCGGGUCAUGCCGGGCACUCUGGCGAGACUGCCGGUGUCAAGCCGGAGGAAGGUGGGGACGACGUCAAGUCAUCAUGGCCCUUAUACCCUGGGCUGCAAACGUCCUACAAUGGCCGGUACAAAGGGAAGCGAAGCCGCGAGGCGGAGCGAAUCCCAAAAAGCCGGCCCUAGUUCGGAUUGCAGGCUGCAAUUCGCCUGCAUGAAGCUGGAAUCGCUAGUAAUCGCGGAUCAGAACGCCGCGGUGAAUAUGUUCCUGAGCCUUGCACACACCGCCCGU